rnacentral:rRNA from 1 species
CAGUAGCCGCGGUAAUACGUAGGUGGCAAGCGUUGUCCGGAAUUAUUGGGCGUAAAGGGCUCGCAGGCGGUUUCUUAAGUCUGAUGUGAAAGCCCCCGGCUCAACCGGGGAGGGUUAUUGGAAACUGGGAAACUUGAGUGCAGAAGAGGAGAGUGGAAUUCCACGUGUAGCGGUGAAAUGCGUAGAGAUGUGGAGGAACACCAGUGGCGAAGGCGACUCUCUGGUCUGUAAUUGACGCUGAGGAGCGAAAGCGUGGGGAGCGAACAGGAUUAGAUACCCCCUGUAGUCCCUGUCUCUUAUA